rnacentral:rRNA from 1 species
GAUGAACGCUGGCGGCGUGCCUAAUACAUGCAAGUCGAGCGAACAGAUGAGGAGCUUGCUCCUCUGACGUUAGCGGCGGACGGGUGAGUAACACGUGGAUAACCUACCUAUAAGACUGGGAUAACUUCGGGAAACCGGAGCUAAUACCGGAUAAUAUAUUGAACCGCAUGGUUCAAUAGUGAAAGACGGUUUUGCUGUCACUUAUAGAUGGAUCCGCGCCGCAUUAGCUAGUUGGUAAGGUAACGGCUUACCAAGGCAACGAUGCGUAGCCGACCUGAGAGGGUGAUCGACCACACUGGAACUGAGACACGGUCCAGACUCCUACGGGAGGCAGCAGUAGGGAAUCUUCCGCAAUGGGCGAAAGCCUGACGGAGCAACGCCGCGUGAGUGAUGAGGGUCUUCGGAUCGUAAAACUCUGUUAUUAGGGAAGAACAAAUGUGUAAGUAACUAUGCACGUCUUGACGGUACCUAAUCAGAAAGCCACGGCUAACUACGUG